CUCUCCCAAUUACAUUACGACUCUAUGUACUCUAUGGGCGGUGCGCAGCAGCCGGCCCUGCUCGGGUUUUUCCGGCAGCGUUCGCUCAUCAUCGUAGCCAAUCAGAGCUCGAAAUGAACUGGACCUAACAUAACCUCCUCCAGAUGAACGAGUAGCAAAGGUCGACAUCGGCAAUGGUCGAUUCGUGGCGAACGGUCAGAGGUCGAUUCGCGAACGGUCAUACGUCGAUGCCCGAACGCACCGAACCAAUCGAACCUAGUUCACCAUUGUGCAUUAUAUUUUACUGUUCAUUUUAUCGUUUGUUGCAAAUGGAGCAUUAUGUAUAGGCUGCUUGUCUUCGCCGUGGACGACACUAAAGACCUCUAAGUUUAAGUAGCUCUCUUAGCAGAACGAGAGCCAUAAUGGAUCAGGAAAUUCCAUCAAUGCACCCUGUCUCUCUUUAGUAGGGAGCCGAGGCACCCUUCUAUGACUCAGUCUUGUCACGUUACAGUAUGAGGAACUGCGCAAAAGCAGAUUGAAGCAAA